rnacentral:rRNA from 1 species
AAUCCAUAGGUUAAUGAGGCGAACCGGGGGAACUGAAACAUCUAAGUACCCCGAGGAAAAGAAAUCAACCGAGAUUCCCCCAGUAGCGGCGAGCGAACGGGGAGGAGCCCAGAGCCUGAAUCAGCAUGUGUGUUAGUGGAAGCGUCUGGAAAGGCGCGCGAUACAGGGUGACAGCCCCGUACACAAAAGCGCAUGUGCUGUGAGCUCGAUGAGUAGGGCGGGACACGUGGUAUCCUGUCUGAAUAUGGGGGGACCAUCCUCCAAGGCUAAAUACUCCUGACUGACCGAUAGUGAACCAGUACCGUGAGGGAAAGGCGAAAAGAACCCCGGCGAGGGGAGUGAAAAAGAACCUGAAACCGUGUACGUACAAGCAGUGGGAGCACAGGUUUACCUGUGUGACUGCGUACCUUUUGUAUAAUGGGUCAGCGACUUAUAUUCUGUAGCAAGGUUAACCGAAUAGGGGAGCCGGAGGGAAA